rnacentral:lncRNA from 1 species
UGUUAGAAAUAAACUUCAAAGAACUUCGGAAAGAAAUGCCUUCAACUGCAAUAUGCUGGCGAUACAAAACUAUCCAUACCCCCUGCAUGUUUAUGCACCUGUCCUGAUUGAUUCAGGGGCCUGUCGUUCAGCAGUUAGAUAUCGUUCGUUGAUGUUCAUAAAUAUUAUUUGGUAUUUUCCCGUUUGUAUAUAUAUAUAAAUUAAAUCGUUGGUUUUUCUGUUCGAAUUGUGUACACUUAUAAUUUUGGGGUCCCUCAUAGCUUGCUGUUUGGUCUGGGUCAAAGCUCUGCCGUACGUACUAUGACCUGUAUUUGUUAUUAUCC